AUGGGGACCAUCCGUGCCGUGGUGAGGGAUCUCUUCGGAGCCAGGAGCGAGUCCUCGGCGUCGACGCUGCAGUGGGCCAUGGCGGAGCUGAUGCGGGAACCAGCGGCGCUCCGGAGGGCGCAGGCGGAGGUGCGCGGCGCGCUCGCCGGGCAGAGCCGCGUCCGGGAGGAGGCCCUUGAGGAGCUGCCGUACAUGCGGCUGGUGAUCAAGGAGACGCUCCGGCUGCACGCUACGGUGCCGCUGAUGCUCCCGCGGGAGAGCAGCGAGGCCACCCGCGUCCUCGGGUACGACGUGCCCCAGGGCACCAUGGUGCUGGUCAACGCGUGGGCCAUCGGCCGGGACACGGCGACCUUUGGCGCGGACGCCGAGGAGUUCCGGCCGGAGAGGUUCGAGGAGGAGGGGACCGCGGCGGCGCUGGACUUCAGGGGGACAGACUUCGAGCUCCUGCCGUUCGGUGCGGGGCGGAGGAUGUGCCCCGGGAUCACGUUCGGGCUCGCCGUCAUUGAGCUCGCGCUGGCGAGCCUCCUCUUCCAUUUCAACUGGGAGCUCCCCGGCGGCACGGUGGAACUGGACGUGGCGGAGACGUUCGGGGUCACGGCGAAGAUGAAGAACGACCUGUGGCUGCAUGCCACCGUCGUCGUGCCACCUCUCUAA
rnacentral:rRNA from 1 species